GAUGAAGAACGCAGCGAAAUGCGAUAAGUAGUGUGAAUUGCAGAAUUCAGUGAAUCAUCGAAUCUUUGAACACACAUUGCGCCCGCCAGUAUUCUGGCGGGCAUGCCUGUCUGAGCGUCAUUUCAACCCUCAUGCCCCUAGGGCGUGGUGUUGGGGAUCGGCCAAAGCCCGCGAGGGACGGCCGGCCCCUAAAUCUAGUGGCGGACCCGUCGUGGCCUCCUCUGCGAAGUAGUGAUAUUCCGCAUCGGAGAGCGAUGAGCCCCUGCCGUUAAACCCCCAACUUUCCAAGGUUGACCUCAGAUCAGGUAGGAAUACCCGCUGAACUUAAGCAUAUCAAUAAGCGGAGGA
rnacentral:misc_RNA from 1 species